rnacentral:misc_RNA from 1 species
UGCAGGCAGACCUAUCUCCGAG